rnacentral:tRNA from 1 species
UCCGAGAUAGCUCAGCGGUAGAGCCGCGCACUGUUAAUGCGUUGGUCGCUGGUUCGAAUCCAGCUCUCGGAGCCA